rnacentral:pre_miRNA from 1 species
UGGGUGUCUCAUCAACCUGAGAUUUCUCCGACUCUGAAUUUGAGGUGGCUCUGACAUCCAGU